AUUGAACGCUGGCGGCAGGCCUAACACAUGCAAGUCGAGCGGAGCGGCGGACGGGUGAGUAAUGCCUAGGAAUCUGCCUGGUAGUGGGGGAUAACGUCCGGAAACGGGCGCUAAUACCGCAUACUAUCAGAUGAGCCUAGGUCGGAUUAGCUAGUUGGUGGGGUAAAGGCCUACCAAGGCGACGAUCCGUAACUGGUCUGGGAGGAUGAUCAGUCACACUGGGACUGAGAGACGGUCCAGACUACUAGGGGAGGCAGCAGUGGGGAAUAUUGGGCAAUGGGGGAAAGCCUGAUCCAGCCGUGGCGCGUGUGUGAAGAAGGUCUUAGGAUUGUAAAGCACUUUAAGGUGGGAGGCUUUACCAACAGAAUAAGCACCGGCUAACUUCGUGCCCGCAGCCGCGGUUAUAC
rnacentral:rRNA from 1 species